UUCAACUGAAAAAGAAAGAAAUUCAAGCUAGCAUACCACCGUCAACACUAGCGUUCACUUUAUCUUAAUGAUCAUAAUACAUAAUUCAAAGUGACGAGAGAAAUAGUAUUCCAACCAAAAAAGAAAAUAAAAACAAAAACAGAGGAGGAGUAGAAACAAAGAAGAGAUUCUUCUAAAACUAAAUCUGACACACUUACACACACAUAAUUUACGUAGAGCAAAACAAAAACGAUAACACACAGAAACAGACAAAAUAAAAGAAAAAGAGAAAACAGAACAGAACUAGGAGUAAUUUACAAUCAAAGGCCACUCAAACAGUUUCUAUUUAUUAUCUCCCAACAAAGAAAUUCUGUUUCCUAGUGCAAACUCAGGCAUGCAUGGCUACGCGCUUGUCGUCGGUGUGAAUAACAGUACUCGGCUCCUCAUCUUUGUGGACUACAGUAGUACUCUCGUCGUCGCUCUCUAUAACAUGGGACUUGUCAUCAUCUUUGUGGAUAACAGGUUCAUCUUCUUCAGCUGGUUCUUCAACUAUUUGGAUAGAAGGCCGCUCUUCAAUGGCUUUGAUAACAGGCAGCUGGUGGUUGACAUGCUCAUCAUCAUCUUCAUUUUGUAUAACAGGAGCUGAAACUGUGAAGUUUUCAGUGAAAUAGUUGAUGUUGAUUAUAUUAAAUUCACAAGGGGUAGCUUUUACUGAUUUAGUACUACUGGAUUUAUUCUUGGAACCACUCCCGAAAGCGAAAUCAAUAGGAU
rnacentral:lncRNA from 1 species